GCGGCCGUCGUCUAGCUGGUUAGGACGCAGGCCUUCCAAGCCUGUAGUCCCGGGUUCGAAUCCCGGCGGCCGCACCA
rnacentral:tRNA from 1 species